CUGUUUAGGAACAUCAACCCAGCUGUUAGUUACAUCUUCUGGUGUGUGUUAUGAUUCAACUAAAAUUGUCUCAGCCUCGGAUGUCGCCGCCAUUUCCACGUGCAAAUGUGGCCAGGCUAGACUCAAAUAGCCUUUUUAGAAUUUAUAAAUGGUCCCUUAAAUUCAUUGAGUUCACAGUAAAGUAGCAUCUCGAGACAGGGUUCUUACAGGUCUACAGGUAAGCUCUAGCACAAAGAGGAUUCAGACACAAGCUGUUUUGAAACUUAGAUGGAACCCAAAGGAAACAGUAGGACAAGGUUUGGCCAAAUACAUGCCCGAGGGAACUUCUAUCCAAGUGAGCACAGGAAGUUAGGGUGAGCCACGGACACAGAGAAUGCUCCUCAUGCAACUUACUCCACGGCAGUCAUUUUUAAAAUAUAUUGAGGAAUAAUCUUCUAUUAUGUGAACAAGUUGGAGUCUUGAAAUGUUUAUACUUGAAAAAUGGGGGCUAGAGAGAUGGCUCAGGUUGAGAGUGCUGACUGCUCUUCCAGAGGUCCUGAGUUCAAAUCCCAGCAACCACAUGGUGGCUCACAACCAUCUGUAAUGGGGUCUGAUGCCCUCUUCUGGUGUGUAAGAAAAAUGGGUUAUUUCUCCUCUAAAACAGCAAUUGUCAGCACAUACAUAAAAGCAAACAGUGAAGGAUGCUGAAAUGAUCUGGUAGCCCUAAGCUUGCUGCCAGUGGGGAAAGAGCACUAGAAUUUUACAAAGUCUGUAAAUAUGUUUAUAUUAAAAAUAAAGUCAUAUAAUAUUUUCUGCUAACAGAAUAAGCUGACAGUUUGGACAACUUUUGCUGUGUAAAAUUAAAGAGCUUGGCAUCAUUUGUCUUAUACUGGUUUUGUAUCAUUUAGUUAUUGACAGAAAAUGGCUUAUGAACUCUUUCUCCCUUUGUAUUGACAAGGAAAAAAACCAACAGCUACAAAAGAAAAAGUAAAAGAGAUACCCAAUUACUGGUGACCUGAGGAAUUUCCAGUUAACCUUCUUUAUAUAUAAGGAUGAAUAGACCCAACAAGCGCAUCUAUAAUACAAAGUAAACUAUGAUUUUAUUGUGAAAUUCUCAUAGAUGGAAAAUUAAAUUGAAUAUUUAUUCUGUCCAUUUUUCAUUUUACAAUAAUCUUACCACUUAUUUUUGUACCAUGUAUUUCAAUUGUCUGUUUAGUGAAAAAUAAACCUGUAAUUUUUGGCUUAUUUUUAGAUUAAUAUUUUAUCAUUAAAGACCCCAUAAUAAAAUGUGUUGUCAACAGCCACACCCUAAGCCCCCAAUUGAAGAAUGCUUGGCUGCCGCUUAAACCAAAGGAAACAACCUUUGACUUUUGUCACCUUAAAAUGCUAGUGUCUACAAGAGACUCUGUUUCCCACAGUAAGACAAAAGCAGUCUAGGAUCUCGAAGGUCCUAGUUAACAAAACUUUCACACAUGCAAAAUUUCACCGAAAUAAAUAUAUUAUUUCUCCCAUCAUUCCCAUCUAGCGUUCAUGUUUUCAGUUAAUUUGGGGAAUAGAAUGUCUACAGUUAGGGCAAUCAACAUUUCCUGCUUUCUAAUCUAAUGCUUAACCUCUCCUCCAACAUGAGUUAUACAGUUGAGAAGAAUAAAGGUGACACCUGGAAGUGGAGGCAGGAGGAUCAGGAGUUCAAGGCCAUCCUUGGUUACAAGUGAAUUUGAGGCCUCUUGAGCUAUGUGAGACACUGUCUCAAAAAAAUGGGUGCAGUCUGGGACAUGCCUUUAAUCCCAGCACUUCUGAGGAAAAGGCAGGUGGGGGAGGGGUGGUCAGCCUGUUUUACAUACUUAAGUUCCAGGCUAGCCAGGGCUACAUAGUGAGACACUGUAUCAAAAAAGGAGGAAAAAAAGCCAGGUGUGGUGGCGCACACCUUUAAUCUCAGCACUCAGAUACAGAGACAGGCGGAUCCCUGAGUUCAAGGCCAGCCUGGUCUACAGAGAGUUCUAGGACAGCCAGCGAUACACAGAGAAACCCUGUCUCCAAUAGCCAAAAAAAAUAAAAAUAAAAAA
rnacentral:lncRNA from 1 species